ensembl:lncRNA
UCUUUUUCUUCUGUUAGAAGGUUUGGCCUACACAUGUAUAAAAUAUUGUGCUUCAUUUUCUUGCAUAAUAGUGACAUAGGCAGUGACAUGGUGUCUUCGCUUUCUGCUUAUGAUUUGCCUGUGUUCUGCAUAGCUUAUCCAUGGAACGGCUGCAAGAAGUUGGGGCUUCCUAAACCCAAAAAGAUACAGAGUAAUUUGCUUUCUAAAUGAAAUAUAGCUUGACUUCCAUUUUUCUUUAACCAAAUGUUGUAAGAAAGAAAGAAAAAAAGAAUAAUUUUAGAAAUAAUUCACAUUUAGUUAACAUGUUUGUACAGCUCUUGAGCUAGUAUCUGUCAAACCCACCUGCAUUCAACACUUUUUGAUAGUGACAUAAACUGCCACAGUUACCUCACUUCAAAUUCUUGGGAAGUUAUCUGCCGCAGUAGAUCUCAGUGCAGAAAUAAACCGAGAUCCAAAGACUAAUUUCAUCUUUGCUAAGUGUUUGUAAGGGGAGAUGAUGUCAGUGCCUACCCAUUGCGAGUGAAAACUGGAGUGCUCUGCUAUCUGGACUCCCACCCUCCCCAUUACCACGGCUUGAUUUAAUUGGUUCCUAUUUUCUGAGCUGAGAUUAAUGCACAAAUCUACCCAUGAUGUCAUGAACUGGGACAAAUGCUUCUAACAUCCCUACAUGUUCUACUACCCACUCUUAAAAAGGACUGCUGGCUUGCAAGGUAAGACCAACCCACCCUCUACGUGGUCUUCUCUAGAGGCUUUGGUGACACUGGAGCCCUUGGAAAAUGUGACCUCACAAUUACUGCAGUAGACCCUGUGUGACAUUGGAGCAAACGUACUGAAACCUGUGGGUGCACUGCCACUGCUCACAAAGGCUCUUUCUGCUUGAGGCCCUUUUCCACCUCCUGAGCCCUCCCCUUACAAUGCAGUCUUUCUGGGGGCUUUUGGUGCUCUCCAGUCUGGCUGUGCAGGGUGCUUUUUGUUUGUUUUCUUUCCCAGACGCAGGCAACGCUGCCCCUCUUGGGGCAGUGCAUGAGGGAGAUGGAUCGCACUCAGGUAUUACAUACUUUGAAACAAAUGUAAUGGUUGGUUUAAUUGGAGAUGGCUUUGGAGGAGCUGCAGCGGCUGCCAUUUAUGUCAGUGGCUUUCCUACCAGUAAUCCAAAUAUUCAUGGAAAGUGGAUUGAGAAAGAGUGUCAAUAACACUGAAAUAAAUUCAGAGCUUUCUUCA